CAGCGCCGCGGUAAAACGGAGGGUGCAAGCGUUAAUCGGAAUUACUGGGCGUAAAGCGCACGCAGGCGGUCUGACAAGUCAGAUGUGAAAUCCCCGGGCUUAACCUGGGAACUGCAUUUGAAACUGUCAGGCUGGAGUCUUGUAGAGGGGGGUGGAAUUCCAGGUGUAGCGGUGAAAUGCGUAGAGAUCUGGAGGAAUACCGGUGGCGAAGGCGGCCCCCUGGACAAAGACUGACGCUCAGGUGCGAAAGCGUGGGGAGCAAACAGGAUUAGAUACCCCAGUAGUCCCUGUCUCUUAUACA
rnacentral:rRNA from 1 species